AAAAGUUCAGUAACUAGCUA
rnacentral:miRNA from 1 species